UACGUAGGGUGCAAGCAUUAAUCGGAUUUAUUGGGCGUAAAGGGCGCGUAGGCGGGAAUGCCAGUCAGAUGUGAAAUCCCGAGGCUCAACCUCGGAACAGCAUUUGAAACUACAUUUCUAGAGGGUAGACGGAGAAAACGGAAUUCCACAAGUAGCGGUGAAAUGCGUAGAUAUGUGGAAGAACACCAGUGGCGAAGGCGGUUUUCUAGUUUAUACCUGACGCUGAUGCGCGAAAGCAAGGGGAGCAAACAG
rnacentral:rRNA from 1 species